UUGCUGGAUGCUGACGAGCGGCGGACGGGUGAGUAAUGCAUAGGAAUCUGCCCGAUAGUGGGGGAUAACCUGGGGAAACCCAGGCUAAUACCGCAUACGUCCUACGGGAGAAAGGGGGCUCCGGCUCCCGCUAUGGGAUGAGCCUAUGUCGGAUUAGCUAGUUGGUGAGGUAACGGCUCACCAAGGCCACGAUCCGUAGCUGGUCUGAGAGGAUGAUCAGCCACAUCGGGACUGAGACACGGCCCGAACUCCUACGGGAGGCAGCAGUGGGGAAUAUUGGACAAUGGGGGCAACCCUGAUCCAGCCAUGCCGCGUGUGUGAAGAAGGCCCUCGGGUUGUAAAGCACUUUCAGCGAGGAAGAACGCCUAGCGGUUAAUACCCGCUAGGAAAGACAUCACUCGCAGAAGAAGCACCGGCUAACUCCGUGCCAGCAGCCGCGGUAAUACGGAGGGUGCAAGCGUUAAUCGGAAUUACUGGGCGUAAAGCGCGCGUAGGUGGCUUGAUAAGCCGGUUGUGAAAGCCCCGGGCUCAACCUGGGAACGGCAUCCGGAACUGUCAAGCUAGAGUGCAGGAGAGGAAGGUAGAAUUCCCGGUGUAGCGGUGAAAUGCGUAGAGAUCGGGAGGAAUACCAGUGGCGAAGGCGGCCUUCUGGACUGACACUGACACUGAGGUGCGAAAGCGUGGGUAGCAAACAGGAUUAGAUACCCUGGUAGUCCACGCCGUAAACGAUGUCGACCAGCCGUUGGGUGCCUAGCGCACUUUGUGGCGAAGU
rnacentral:rRNA from 1 species